rnacentral:rRNA from 1 species
ACCCGCUGAACUUAAGCAUAUCAAUAAGCGGAGGAAAAGAAACCAACAGGGACUGCCCUAGUAACGGCGAGUGAAGCGGCAACAGCUCAAAUUUGAAAUCUGGCUCUUUUAGAGUCCGAGUUGUAAUUUGCAGAGGGCGCUUUGGCUUUGGCAGCGGUCCAAGUUCCUUGGAACAGGACGUCACAGAGGGUGAGAAUCCCGUACGUGGUCGCUGGCUAUUGCCGUGUAAAGCCCCUUCGGCGAGUCGAGUUGUUUGGGAAUGCAGCUCUAAAUGGGAGGUACAUUUCUUCUAAAGCUAAAUAUUGGCCAGAGACCGAUAGCGCACAAGUAGAGUGAUCGAAAGAUGAAAAGCACUUUGGAAAGAGAGUCAAACAGCACGUGAAAUUGUUGAAAGGGAAGCGCUUGCAGCCAGACUUGCUUACAGUUGCUCAUCCGGGCUUUUGCCCGGUGCACUCUUCUGUAGGCAGGCCAGCAUCAGUUUGGGCGGUAGGAUAAAGGUCUCUGUCACGUACCUCUCUUCGGGGAGGCCUUAUAGGGGAGACGACAUACUACCAGCCUGGACUGGGGUCCGCGCAUCUGCUAGGAUGCUGGCGUAAUGGCUGU